AUGUCCAGAUCCGACCUUCAAGGCCGGUGGAUGGCCUCCUCUGUCAUAGAGGAGGACAUUGCGAAGCUUAGGGAGGUCAGAUAUCUGACCACCGACAUCAAGCACAAGCUCCCUGCUCCAGGGAAGGUCAUCCCUACUCCUGAGCCCAACGAGAGCAUCGUAUUUGUUUCUCACUUCCUCCGUGGCUUAGGCUUCACCCUCGAUCCCUUUGUGAGAGGGCUCAUGUUCUAUUACGGGCUAGAUUUUUAUGAUCUAGCUCCGGACUCCAUCCUUCACAUCUCGUCUUUUAUCAUCAUGUGCGAAGCCUUCCUCCACAUCACCCCGCACUUCGGCUUAUGGCUGAAGACCUUCAAUGUAAAGCCGAAGGCGAUCGAGGGGCGACACGUGGAGUGCGGAGGUGCUGCAAUAAGAAGAAACGCCGAUGCCCCAUGGCUAGAGGGCUUCUUCCUGGAGGUGUCCGAUCUAUGGCAGCGGAGGUGGUUCUACGUCAUGGCUCCCAAAGGCACAAAGUGGGUGGCUGCCACCGACUUCCGCUCGGGCCCUCCUCCUCAACUGGCGUCGUGGGCCAAUGUGGGACUGGAUUGGGGGUCUGCUAAUGACGUACCGACAUUGCAAUGCCGCAUUCGGGAGCUUCUUGAGAGGGACAUCAGUCUUGUCAGCGUAAUUCAGGUAAUGCUAGUCCGACGGAUCUUGCCGUGCAAAUGUCGGCCUCUCCGGAUGUGGGAGUUCAACCCGGAAGGUCUGCGAACUAUUCAGCACUUCUUCGACAUGACGCUCGAAGGGAUGUGUAGGUUAUUCUUCCGAACAAAAGUAAAGUGUCCGGACACCACCGAGGAUGCGGGCCUGAGCUGCAACCGCCCAGAUACCCAAGAUUGGCUCAGUAAGGCGGAGAGAAUUAGGUGUCCGGCACCACUUCCUGAAGGCUCGCCUAGUCCUGCAAUAGCCAGGAUGCUUAGUCGUGUGCUAAGUCAAGUGCCAUCGGGGAAAGACGAAGGGAAGAACAGAGAAGCAGAGCUUCACACAUUGCACACCCAAACUGGGGGAAUUACUAUUUCCAUGAAGGAGGAUAGUCGGGGAGGGGAAUCUAAGGUCUCUUCCCCCCGCGGGAAGAAGAGGGCCGCCUCUGAAGACUUGGAUACGGAGGUGCCUAGACAAGGGAAGAAAACUUCACCAGGGGGCCCUGCCCCGGAGGGCGUCCUCACCGUGCCAUGCCCGCAAACGGGCCAGCCCUCCGCCGAGCUUCCGGCUAGUAGCUCUUCUCGACAGAGUUCGUCUUCGGGGGAUCUUCUUCCGGAGAUGAUGAAGAGUGAAACCCCACCUACCUCUCCGCCUCAUGGGGUGGGCAACCCUGAGGUGUCAUCACAGAGGAGUCCAGAUUCGCCGAGGCCAGAAGCUAAUACUUCGGUCGCCCUGAGCCCGGAGCGUUCGGCUCCCAUGGGGGGCAAUAAGAAGGGUCCGGCACAGUCCGGCGACUGGCCGGACAUGGUGACGGGCCCUUCUGGAGCAAGCUUCUCUCUCGGAGGAUCACCGUUCGUUAAUGGGCAUGGUGCUUGA
rnacentral:rRNA from 1 species